rnacentral:sRNA from 1 species
UACAAGACGAGGAUCUGCUGCAACCUAUGACACAUCGAUAUCAGAUUACACACACAUAGACAGCCAAAGAAUAAACAUAUCAGAUAAAAUAGAGAAAAUAGAAAGCAAGGUCGACAAGAUAUUAGAGCUGUUUGAGAAACACAGGCAACCUUCUGCCGCUUCUGAUGACAUAAAGAGAAAUCCUCGAGAAAUAACUGAAUCAGGUAGUGAAAGUCGACAGCACUCAAGCAGACUACAAGACCAGCUCACCGGCUCUAAUGAAAUAAGAACAGACCUCUUUACUGAUUAUACAGACGAAAUAACAUAUCGUACAUGACCUUUUGUAAACGGUCUCAAAAUGUAUAU